ACUUUUACAGAUUUCUUCGGAAUGAAGUUUUAGUGACUGAGUGGCGGACGGGUGAGUAACGCGUGGGUAACCUGCCUCACACAGGGGAAUAACAGUUGGAAACGGCUGCUAAUACCGCAUAAGCGCACAGUACCGCAUGGUACGGUGUGAAAAACUCCGGUGGUGUGAGAUGGACCCGCGUUGGAUUAGCUAGUUGGUGAGGUAACGGCCCACCAAGGCGACGAUCCAUAGCCGACCUGAGAGGGUGACCGGCCACAUUGGGACUGAGACACGGCCCAAACUCC
rnacentral:rRNA from 1 species